rnacentral:lncRNA from 1 species
ACAUUAAAAGAAUUACAACUUAAUCUAUGAAAAAGCUGAAUUAUGUCCCUUGGGAGUAUUAAUUUCCAACAAAAGUCCUUGCAAACAGUAGAAAAUGAAAAAUUAUGUAUGCCUGAUAUUAUUAAAGAUAUAAACUACAAAAUCAAGCACUAUUGAAAUAUUUUCUGCAUGAAUUGCCAAGAAUGUGAACAAUUCUUUACACAGGAGAAUAUAAAUUCUAUCUAAAUUUGGCCUCAAGUGGGCCUCUUUUUUU